rnacentral:lncRNA from 1 species
GCUCACUCGCCUCACCCUGGCCCUGGCCUGUGCACAUCCCCUGGUCCCAUCACAGAGCAGUAGCACCACCGUCUCCCGCAGGCAGAGAGAAGGCUGCCCCAGCGGACGGUUCCGAGGAGCUCGUGGCGGUCUCUCUGACCACGCCGUCUUCCUCAUCCGCCUUCAUCAACAUCCAAACGUCUAAGCUUUGGGUCACUUCUAAAAGCAAGAAGGUUUGGGGAAAAGUAUACAGGAUUCGGAAACGAAAAAUGAGAGUUGAAAUUCAGGUUCUGGCAGAAAAUAACUUGGGGGAAUUUGGGCAAGUCAAUUAACUUACCUGGGCCCAGCUUCUCUGUUCUGUGAAGUGAGGAGAGAGUCUCUGCCCGUCUCUCUGCACGUUUGCGCGGGUCAGGGAAAACUUCUUCAACUGCCUGUCUUCAAGAGACUUUCAAAGCCCUCCCUCAAGUGAUUGUUAAGUGAUACUAGAAAUACAUUUGCCUGCAUCUGGAGAUGGUGGGUGGUAUGUAAACCAGAUUCCCAAAUUCCCAAACCAGAGGAGCCCUGGGUCAUUAGGAGCAUCUGAACACCGACCGUGGAGGAACCACCGCAUGUCCAGUCGUUUCCAAGGACCUGCCGUCUCUAGUGUCAUGGGGGGAAGUGCCCCACCAGCAGGCUCUUGUCUCCUCUCUGAGACAGAAGCAGUCAGUGGGAGAGAGGUCAACAGAGGCAGCGGGUGAGAACUCAGUCUCCGGAGUUACGCCAGCCUGAGUGUGAGCCCAGCUCCCCUCGACCAGCUCUGUAGCUCAUGCUUACUGCUUAACCUUAUUCACUGAUGCAACAGGUACUCACUGAGUGUGUCCUCAGUGGCAGCCAGGGCUGUGGGUACUGAGACAAAGGAGGGAACCAACAGAACUACCUCGUGGAGGUUCCAUUUGUCUGCAAAAGGAAAUGAUUGGAGCCCCCAGCUCAUAAGGCUGUUUAAGGAUUACCACUCAGCAUGGGACCUGGCUCACACUUGUUCCUAUAAAAGUUAAUAAAAC